GACGAACGCUGGCGGCGUGCCUAAUACAUGCAAGUCGAGCGAAGUUUUUCUGGUGCUUGCACUAGAAAAACUUAGCGGCGAACGGGUGAGUAACACGUAAAGAACCUGCCUCAUAGACUGGGACAACUACUGGAAACGAUAGCUAAUACCGGAUAACAGCAUUAACUGCAUGGUUGAUGUUUGAAAGUUGGUUAUGCUAACACUAUGAGAUGGCUUUGCGGUGCAUUAGCUAGUUGGUGGGGUAAAGGCCCACCAAGGCGACGAUGCAUAGCCGACCUGAGAGGGUGAUCGGCCACACUGGGACUGAGACACGGCCCAGACUCCUACGGGAGGCAGCAGUAGGGAAUCUUCCGCAAUGGGCGAAAGCCUGACGGAGCAACGCCGCGUGAGUGAAGAAGGAUUUCGGUUCGUAAAGCUCUGUUGUUAGGGAAGAAUGGAUAUGUAGUAACUAUACAUGUACGAGACGGUACCUAACCAGAAAGCCACGGCUAACUACGUGCCAGCAGCCGCGGUAAUACGUAGGUGGCAAGCGUUGUCCGGAAUUAUUGGGCGUAAAGCGCGCGCAGGUGGUUUAAUAAGUCUGAUGUGAAAGCCCACGGCUCAACCGUGGAGGGUCAUUGGAAACUGUUAAACUUGAGUGCAGGAGAGAAAAGUGGAAUUCCUAGUGUAGCGGUGAAAUGCGUAGAGAUUAGGAGGAACACCAGUGGCGAAGGCGGCUUUUUGGCCUGUAACUGACACUGAGGCGCGAAAGCGUGGGGAGCAAACAGG
rnacentral:rRNA from 1 species